AGUAGAAGAAAAAAUAUCUAAACACUCCAAACUUGUUAAAUAUGCCAGGCUGUCAGACAACCUAUCAGUCUACACAGCAGAACUAACAGCCAUCUACGAGGCACUAAUCUGGAUCAGAAAUAAACAAUAUCCUAAAAGUGUUAUCUUCUCAGAUAGCCUUAGCUCAAUCCAAUCUCUUCAAACUAAUAAAUCUACUAGGUCAGACAUCUUAGCAGCUAUCCACAAUAAACUCCACGAAUUAAACCAACUUAACCUAACAGUAGUAUUCGAAUGGGUCCCAGCUCAUGUAGGAAUAAUUGGUAACGAAGUAGCCGACUAUGGAGCAAAAACAGCACUCUCAAUCACCAGUACAAUUACCGCACUACCACUAGGAAUAACAGAGUUAAUGUCAAAAGCAAAAAAACAUUACAUAAAUCAAUGGCAAGCAAACUGGGACCUUACAAAUAAUACAUGGCACUACAACAUCAAGCCACUAGUCAACUCAAUAAGACCUAAAUACAAAAACACCUUUGUGGAUAAACUAAUCACUAAAGUACGCCUAGGUAAAUCUUUACAACUCAACAGCUGCUCAUUUACCAAACUAAACCCAGAAUGUGAUUGUGGCACCCGGGAAGAUAUGAAACACUAUCUCCUGGAUUGCACGCUACAUACCACACAAAGAAAACUAAUGAUAGAGUCAAUAACCGAAGCCAACCAUAAUAAACAAAUAACGCCUAACUUCCUACUAAACCCGGAUAAACAUCUAAAACAUAAAACCUUCAAAGCAGUUUAUCUAUUCGUCCAGACCACCAAACCAAAACUAUAAAAUAAACCAAUAAUAGGCACUCAUAACCAUUCACUAGUACGCCCAUAAGAAGGAACUGCUACCAAUUCGAACUCUACUCGAUGCUUUCCAACCUAGGGGCCAAAGGUGAAUAGGUGAAAUAAGAACCAAUACAGUGUUAAUAGAUUAUUCAUAGGGAUUGUUCAAAACCACUCGCUUGUAAGCCCUUACAUAAGAGCUGCAACCAAUUUGGAACUCGGACCCGAUGCACUCUACUGCAAGUGGCCAAAGGUGGGGAGGUAGCGAACUUCCGAAUAGAUUAAUGUAAAUAUACUAUGUUAUGAUUUUAUUCUAAAAAUCGAGUUUUGGCAAAUUGGUACAUAGCACUCCCAAAUGAGAUCGCAGCAAACCAAUUGAAUAAGGCGCUAACCAUCCAACCAAAGCCAAUAUAUCAAACAGGAUAGGAUCACUAAUUAUCAACCUCUCUUUUUACAGCUCGCCUAUUGGUCCAAGCCAGCCAACCACGACCCAGAAUAACCACAUGUAUAUAUCGCACAUUUCAUGUAAUCGCACCAUGCACUUUAUUAAUGAUGAAUAAAACUAGCAGACACGCUUGUCCACGGCUUUUCUCAAGGGAGUCUCAUGAGUACGCCUGGCGGCCUGGGAUGUCUUGACAACAUUGGUGUGAACGACUUGGGUGGUCUACGUGGUCUACGUAAUUGAACAGUCACAUCUUAAAGAGCUGGGGUAGGUACGAAAUCUACCACGAUCUCCCAGACAAUCCAAACCAUCUACCAAUCAACUGUCCAUUCAGCGCCGCUACUAUGACGUCACUAUUAAUUGUGAUGGUGAUUUUUGUCUAUCUUUCUGUUUUUCCUCUUGUUUUAUCGAUUAAAACUGGAAGAUGCA